rnacentral:rRNA from 1 species
UACGGUAGGGUGCUAGCGUUGCUCGGAAUCACUGGGCGUAAAGCGCACGUAGGCGGCUUGUUAAGUCAGGGGUGAAAUCCUGGAGCUCAACUCCAGAACUGCCUUUGAUACUGGCGAGCUUGAGUCCGGGAGAGGUGAGUGGAACUGCGAGUGUAGAGGUGAAAUUCGUAGAUAUUCGCAAGAACACCAGUGGCGAAGGCGGCUCACUGGCCCGGUACUGACGCUGAGGUGCGAAAGCGUGGGGAGCAAACAGG